UCACCUUUGCCGGUCUCAUCCCGUGUCUGCUUUGUUAAAUUCCAUGAUCCGGACUCAGCAGCUGUGGCACAGCAUCUGACAAACACUGUAUUCGUUGACAGAGCAUUGAUAGUCGUACCAUAUGCAGAAGGAGUUAUUCCUGAUGAGACUAAGGCUUUGUCUCUGUUGGCACCAGCUAAUGCAGUGGCAGGUCUUCUGCCUGGUGGUGGACUCCUGCCUACUCCUAACGCACUUAACCAGAUUGGCGCUGUUCCAUUGGCUGCUUUGGGAGCUCCUACUCUUGAUCCUGCCCUUGCUGCACUUGGGCUUCCUGGAGCAAACUUGAACUCUCAGUCUCUUGCUGCAGAUCAGUUGCUGAAGCUUAUGAGUACUGUUGAUCCCAAGUUGAAUCAUGUAGCUGCUGGUCUUGUUUCACUAAGUCUGAAAUCAGAUACCUUCAGUAAAGAAAUAGAGGAAGCCAUGAAGAGAGUACGAGAAGCACAGUCCCUAAUAUCUGCUGCCAUAGAACCAGAUAAAAAAGAAGAAAAAUGAAGGCACUCAAGAUCAAGAUCACGCUCUAGGAGGAGGAGGACUCCUUCAUCUUCUAGACACAGGCGGUUAAGAAGCAGAUCUAGAAGGAGGUCACAUUCUAAGUCAAGGAGUAGGUGAUCCAAAAGUCCCAGACGGAGAAGAUCUCAUUCCAGAGAGAGAGGUAGAAGGUCAAGGAGCACAUCCAAAAACAGAGACAAAAAGAAAGAAGACAAAGAAAAUAAACGUUCCAAAACACCACCAGAAAGUUAUAGCACAGCUAGACGGACCAGAAGUGCAAGCAGAGAGAGACGACAUCGACGAAGCAGGAGUGGCACAAGAUCUAAAAAGCCCAGGUCUCCGAAAAGAAAAUUGUCUCGCUCACCGUCCCCUAGGAGGCAUAAAAAGGAGAAGAAGAAAGAUAAAGACAAAGAAAGAGGCAGAGAUGAAUGAGAACGAUCAACAAGCAAGAAGAAGAAAAAUAAAGAUAAAGAAAAGGAUCGGGAAAGAAAAUCGGAGAGUGAUAAAGAUGUAAAACAGGUUACAUGGGAUUAUGAUGAAGAAGAACAGGGGUAUGACAGCGAGAAAGAGAAAAAAGAGGAGAAGAGACCAACAGAACCAGUUUCCCCCAAAACAAAAGAAUGUUCUGUGGAAAAGGGAACUGGUGAUCCCCUGAGAGAAUCCAAAGUGAAUGGUGAUGAUCAUCAUGACGAAGACAUGGAUAUGAGUGACUGAAUAUGGCCUCCAUGAGAAUCCACCUGUAUACAUGCAUCAGUUUCAUUCCUUUGUGUGAUAUCUUCAGGCUGUAUUUGUUCAUCUCAAACCUAAGAUGUAUACAGCUCUGAGCUAUAAAUGGUUAUAACGCU